rnacentral:lncRNA from 1 species
GCAACAUGCAGGAUCUUCCCGGCCUGACUGCUGCACCUCGAUCGUGAGUCGCCCCUGCCUGAGCGGCUUCCACCGCCUGGAAAAAACUAAGAAACUCAAGAGGAGUCAUCAGAAUUCCUGCCAUGUGGGAGUCAUCAACCCAAUGGGUGACUUCUUUUCUGCUCCACAUAUAAGAGGAUUACUUAGACCGAGCCAGGACAAUGAGAUUCAAUCCUGAAAUUUUUUUCAAACUUGGAAAGAGGAUCUCUUUUCCAUGGGAUUGAAAAUAGAGCUCCUGAGAACCUGCCUGAUGGAGAGUGCAACAUAGAGAAAAGCAGAACGAAGACACAGAGAGAAGGAGUUCCAUUUUGACUUCUAGAUCCAACCUUGCCUGCAGCUGAGCUUGUUCACUGAUGUUUUCGUCUCCUAUUCCAAGCAAGUAGCCAGGCUAAUUGCCGCCUUACUUCAGGGAAGUCUGUGGCAGAAGCUUGAAAGCAAAUGACCUACUACACCUGCUUGUGUCCUGGUCUUCAAGAGCUUGGGUUCCUGAAGUGGAUUAUGCUGGAGGAACACAGGUAGAAGCAGAAGUAACAAAGGAGAGAAGGAGACUGCCCUACUGCCCUAUACCAGGAAGGUGUGGUGGUUUCCACAAUCAUCAAGGGGCCUGUGUCCUACUUCUAGCAGAACCUGGGGAAGAAGACAAGGAUUCUGCGGAGCCUAACUGUGUGGUGAAGCUAGGGAGGCUGUACCCUUGGCAACAGGGCUUCCAUUGUGAAGAAAGAUGCCUGCAGGCCAAGAAGAGCAGAGAAACAGAGUCACUGCCAUUCAACAGUUCAUGACAACUUCAACAAUAGGGCCACCAUAAUGAGCCAAAAAUUAGGAGCAAUUCUCCUGUGUUUUAAGGAACCACAAAGUCUCUGAGAGACUGAAGAAGAGAGAACACCCAAAUGACAAAUUAAAUUUACCUCCAGCAAGGUGGGAUUAAGGCUCACAGAAAUAUCCAGCACACUCUCCUCACAUCUACUGGGGUCCAAGGCCUCAACAGCACAGUCUCCUCAACCUGCUGCUCCAGACAUUUCGCUUUUCUUCCUCUGCUUGAAUCCUACAAUCGCAAUGCUUUCCUGCCUCUGUGUUUGCUUGGAAUUUUUUGUCCUUUGGCAAUUUAAUGCUUGUAUUCAUCCAUUUAAUAAUAAGUGCCCAUCUUUUCUAUCUUCAAAUACUUGCCCUUCAUAAGGUUCUCCCUGACCCCUCUGAAAAGCCAUAAUUUCCUCCUUUACAUCUCCAAGUUUUGUACUUCUCUUGGGACAUUUACCCUGUACUACUUUUUGUUAUCAUUUCACAUCUGCUCCUCCCAACAUCUUAAACAUUUAUUGAACAUCUACUAAGCAUCCUAAAGACAGUGACUGUUUCCCAAGUACCUAGCAUAACACCAUAUGCCAUUGACCUUAGGACACUAAACUGAACAGAGCACAGAGCCUGUCCUCAAAGUUCUCAAAGUCUAUGUAUCAUGCUCAGGGAUCACAGGAUUGUAUGUAGUAACUUCUCAGCCUUUGUUGAUCUUGAUUGUCAGCACUUUAAAGCUCCAUUCAGCUACUUAUGUAAAAUUUAAGCAAAAUGAGGAAGAUAAUUUCGUUGGAGAGAAAGCUUCUGGAUGCUUCAGAAUAUGCCACCUCACCUGAAUGGUAACCAUUACACUUGUAAAUAAGAUAAAAUAGCAAGAAAAAUAUAAACAUAUGCUUUGAUUAUUUCCUUUUUGAAAAUCAAUAAGAUCAUUUUUAUUUUCAAAGAAAAUGUGCAAAUAAAAAUAUUGUUACCACUUAUUUGAAAUCCAUGAAAAAUGCUGAGGUGAAGGAACUGUUGUCCAAAAACUGCUUUCUCUUCCCGGGCUUACUUCCUUUGCCUUCAUUGUUUUCUGCUGCCACUCCUGCUUUGGAAUUUGCUGUUAUGUGUAAUAAACUCCAUCACAG